UCGGUUGUUUUCUGGUUUCCCCGAGGAGUUAGCGGGCCAGGUGACAAGCCCGCCGCGGAGGGGACUCUGCAAAGGUGUCGCCGGCAGGUCGCCUCAUCUGACCCCUCGGGACGGAGAUCUCGUGCGUAAAGGCCACGUCUAGGCGUUGUAGACGGGGCGCUCUUCCGAGAAAAGGGAAAGAAGCGCUGUUUUGCUUCGCACGAAACCGACCGGGAGGUGAGUUGAAAACUUAUCCAAGAUUCUUCUCCAUGUGCCUUUAGAAGAAAGGAAGGGGGAGGG